rnacentral:rRNA from 1 species
UACGUAGGGUGCAAGCGUUGUCCGGAAUUAUUGGGCGUAAAGAGCUCGUAGGCGGUGUGUCGCGUCGGUCGUGAAAACUUGGGGCUUAACCCUGAGCUUGCGGUCGAUACGGGCAUCACUGGAGUUCGGCAGGGGAGACUGGAAUUCCUGGUGUAGCGGUGAAAUGCGCAGAUAUCAGGAGGAACACCGGUGGCGAAGGCGGGUCUCUGGGCCGAUACUGACACUGAUGAGCGAAAGCGUGGGGAGCGAACAGG